rnacentral:rRNA from 1 species
GACGAACGCUGGCGGCGUGCCUAAUACAUGCAAGUCGAGCGCAGGAAGUCAUCCGAACCCUUCGGGGGGACGUUGACGGAAUGAGCGGCGGACGGGUGAGUAACACGUAAAGAACCUGCCCUCAGGUCUGGGAUAACCACGAGAAAUCGGGGCUAAUACCGGAUGGGUCAUCGGACCGCAUGGUCCGAGGAUGAAAGGCGCUUCGGCGUCGCCUGGGGAUGGCUUUGCGGUGCAUUAGCUAGUUGGUGGGGUAAUGGCCCACCAAGGCGACGAUGCAUAGCCGACCUGAGAGGGUGAUCGGCCACACUGGGACUGAGACACGGCCCAGACUCCUACGGGAGGCAGCGGUAGGGAAUCUUCCACAAUGGACGAAAGUCUGAUGGAGCAACGUCCGCGUGAACGAUGAAGGCCCUCGGGUCGUAAAGUUCUGUUGUAAGGGAAGAACAAGUGCCGCAGGCAAUGGCGGCACCUUGAUCGUACCUGCGAGAAGCCAC